UCGUCAGCCUUAAAGGGAAGGAAAUAUCGACACAUGCUAGGACACGGCUGAACCUUGAGCUCAAGUGAAUCAGGAAAUAAUGUCUCCGCCUAACAAAGUCAAGGAUCAAAACGCUUAGAGAGCCGCUCCUUCCUGUGUGGAGUGACAUCUCGGCUCUUGAAGGCUCUCGAACCGAUUUGCAGUGAAUUCAGGAGCCUCUGGGUCUGCAGGCAAAUGGAACUGAUUCUUUGCAAUUCAAAGCAACACGGCAAGAUGGAACCUUGUGAGGCAUCCAGACUUCAGAGCGCACUGAGAGACGAAUUUCCAUACCCAAACCUCAAAACCAGUCACAUGUUCUUUUGUUUGUUUAUUUUAAGUAGGCUCCACAGGGAGCACGGUGCUUGAACUCACCACCCUGCUGAGAUCAAGAGUCCCGGAUGCAGCCAGGCACCCCUCACGUUUGUUUGUUUGUUUGUUUGUUUGUUUGUUUAAGACAUGUUUCUCUUUACAAAAAUGUAAUCAUUAUCAAUUGCCUCCAUUUCUGUUAGAAUUUUAUAGUUCCCCAGCUUUCAAUAAACCGUUCGUUUUGAACUCAAAA